CGUUCCCGGGCCUUGUACACACCGCCCGUCACACCCCGAAAGUUGGUAACGCCCGAAGCCAGUGGCCCAACCGUGAGGGGGGAGCUGUCGAAGGUGGGAUCAGCGAUUGGGGUG
rnacentral:rRNA from 1 species